AGAAACAUUCCUGUCGGUGGUGGUUCCAGAAAGAACAAGAGAUCAGCUUCUUCUACUUCUUCAUCUUCUUCCUCUUCAUCUUCUAAGAAACUUCCUGAUCUUGUUACACCUCCAAGUUUGUCACAGUCUUCUAUUCAAAACCCUAAGAUCCAUGAAGGCCAAGAUCUCAACAUAGCUUUCCCAUCUACUCAAGGUAUAAGAAGUUUCUCUGAAUUGAUUCAAGUACCUAACGUUGAAACCAACAACAAGAACCAAAUCUCUUCUUCUUCUACAUCCACUACAUCUCAACUUUCAGCUUUGGAACUGCUAACGGGAAUCUCUUCAAGGGGUUUGAAUUCUUUCAUGCCUAUGCCAGUUCAAGA
rnacentral:misc_RNA from 1 species